CCCAUGUCCUAUCAGCUUGUUGGUGAGGUAACGGCUCACCAAGGCGACGACGGGUACCGGGACUGAGAGGUUGACCCGGCGCAUCGGGACUGAGACACUGCCCGGACUCCUACGGGAGGCUGCAGUAACGAAUAUUCCGCAAUGGGCGAAAGCCUGACGGAGCGACGCCGCGUGUGGGAGGAAGCCCUUCGGGGUGUAAACCACUGUCAGGGAUUACCAAGCAAAGUUGGCGAAUAGCCUUCUGCGUUGAGGCGUCCCAGAGGAAGCCACGGCUAACUUCGUGCCAGCAGCCGCGGUAAUACGAAGGUGGCGAGCGUUGUUCGGAAUCACUGGGCUUAAAGGGCACGCAGGCGGACUGUCAAGCGUCUUGUGAAAGCCCCCGGCUUAACCGGGGAAUUGCUGGGCGAACUGGCAGUCUUGAGGCAGGUAAGGGCGAGUGGAACUCUUGGUGGAGCGGUGGAAUGCGUAGAUAUCAAGAGGAACGCCGGAGGCGAAAGCGACUCGCUGGGCCUGACCUGACGCUGAGGUGCGAAAGCCAGGGGAGCGAACGGGAUUAGAUACCCCGGUAGUCCUGGCCAUAAACGAUGUCCACUAGAUCGGUGAACUUCUGACAGUGCGCCGGUCGAAACAAAAGCGUUAAGUGGACCGCCUGGGGAGUACGGUCGCAAGGCUAAAACUCAAAGGAAUUGACGGGGGCUCACACAAGCGGUGGAGCAUGUUGCUUAAUUCGAUGCAGCGCGAAGAACCUUAUCCUGGGCUUGACAUGGUAGGAUGCCUCCCUGGAAACAGGGUUGGUUGCCCUUCGGGGUGAAACUAUCACAGGUGCUGCAUGGCUGUCGUCAGCUCGUGUCGUGAGAUGUUGGGUUAAGUCCCGUAACGAGCGAAACCCUUGUCGUUAGUUGCCAGCGCGUAAUGGCGGGGACUCUAGCGAGACUGCCGGUGUUAAACCGGAGGAAGGUGGGGAUGACGUCAAGUCCUCAUGGCCUUUAUGUCCAGGGCUGCAAACGUGCUACAAUGGCGUGUACAAACCGACGCAAGACCGCGAGGUGGAGCAAAUCGGAAAAAGCACGCCCCAGUUCGGAUUGGAGUCUGCAACUCGACUCCAUGAAGUCGGAAUCGCUAGUAAUCGCGUAUCAGCUCGACGCGGUGAAUGUGUUCCUGAGCAUUGUACACACCGCCCGUCAAGUCAUGGAAGCCGGGAGCGCCCGAAGUCGGC
rnacentral:rRNA from 1 species